GGGUUGUGAGGUUAAGCGACUAAGCGUACACGGUGGAUGCCCUGGCAGUCAGAGGCGAUGAAGGGCGUGCUAAUCUGCGAUAAGCGCCGGUAAGGUGAUAUGAACCGUUAUAACCGGCGAUACCCGAAUGGGGAAACCCAGUGUGACUCGUCACACUAUCAUUAACUGAAUCCAUAGGUUAAUGAGGCGAACCGGGGGAACUGAAA
rnacentral:rRNA from 1 species